rnacentral:rRNA from 1 species
GUGAGGAAUAUUGGUCAAUGGGCGCAAGCCUGAACCAGCAAUGCCGCGUGUGGGACGACGGGGCUUCGCCUUGUAAACCACUGUCGGAUGGGACGAGAGGGAGUAAGAACUCCUGGGACGGUACCAUCAAAGGAAGGGUCGGCUAACUACGUGCCAGCAGCCGCGGUAAUACGUAGGACCCAAGCGUUGUCCGGAUUUACUGGGUAUAAAGGGUGCGUAGGCGGUCUUGUGCGUCAGAGGUGAAAUAUCCGGGCUUAACCCGGAGGGUGCCUUUGAUACGGCAGGACUUGAGUGCGAGAGAGGAUGAUGGAAUUCCUGGUGUAGCGGUGAAAUGCGUAGAUAUCAGGAGGAACACCGGUGGCGAAGGCGGUCAUCUGGCUCGUAACUGACGCUGAGGCACGAAAGCGCGGGGAUCAAACAGGAUUAGAUACCCGGGUAGUCC